GACGAACGCUGGCGGCGUGCUUAACACAUGCAAGUCGAGCGGUAAGGCCCUUUCGGGGGUACACGAGCGGCGAACGGGUGAGUAACACGUGGGUGACCUGCCCUCAGCUCUGGGAUAAGCCUGGGAAACCGGGUCUAAUACUGGAUAUGACUCCAUGACGCAUGUUGUGGGGUGGAAAGCCUUGUGCGGCUGAGGAUAGGCCCGCGGCCUAUCAGCUUGUUGGUGGGGUGANGGCCUACCAAGGCGACGACGGGUAGCCGGCCUGAGAGGGCGACCGGCCACACUGGGACUGAGACACGGCCCAGACUCCUACGGGAGGCAGCAGUGGGGAAUCUUGCGCAAUGGGCGAAAGCCUGACGCAGCGACGCCGCGUGAGGGAUGACGGCCUCGGUUGUAAC
rnacentral:rRNA from 1 species